CAUUACAAGCAUGCACACUUAAAAUAAUCGUAUAAAAUAACCUUAAAUAUAUAAACGGACAAAAAUCUAACUUGGAUUUAAUAAAUUUUUCGCGACAUAUGUAUAGGUUAGUAUAUAAUUCUCGAAAAACUUUAGUUUCAUCAACGAAUAUGUUGAAAGGAAAAAAUAAACACGAAUGCAAUAAAAAAUUAAUUGAUGAAGGAAAUGAAAAAAAAGAGCAAGAAUCAAAAAUCUUUCUGAAAAAAGGAUUAUUCGGAGGAUUUCUCAAUUAUCAGAGUGGAAUGUGUGAUGAAUUGAGGGAACAGUGAGACAAGACGAAAGUAGAGGGAGUGACAAGCAACCCAACGGGAUUUUAAGCUCAAGACGUCACGGGAGUUUAGCGAAACGGUUAAAGGAGCGAGUUAACGAGAAGUCCCUUUGUCCCAGAGGAUAACCUUCCUCUCCAUUAAAUGGUCCGCGUGAUAAAGUCCCUUAUGUAUCAACGAAUCCCUUAAGAACAAAUUAGAGGAAUCCUAUUUUCGAUCUAAUUUUCUACUAUACUAAUUGUAAGAGUAUAAUAUCAUAUCUGUAACUGUGAAAAACAAAAUGAUAUUCUCGAAAGAAUUUGGACUACUUUUUUUUUACAUCGAAUCUUCUGCCAAUUAUUAAUGGAUCAGUGAAUCAGUUUUUCAAUUUUUCAUUAGUUCUUUGAAAAUAUGCAUCACGACUAAAUUUCAUCGAAAAUAGGAAACGUCGAAUUAGCGUACAUUCAGAAUAUAUCGUGGAAAGCUUUUCGUGACCUUAACGCAAGCGGAAAUCAAAAAAAAGGCAAACUAAACUUUUCAGAAGAUUAUGAGAAAGUUCAGGGACACUUACUUAAAUGAUUUCUCUACUACAUUAUACAAUCAUUCGUUAAGUCCAACGUUUGAAACUUGGUAAUAAAAAGUAAAAAUUCGGAGGAAAGAGGUUCGAGAAUAAAAUUUCGUUUAAGCCGCCGACAACCAAGUUUCUCUGCGAACAGUUAACUACUUGCUGUUAUUCGUUCGCAAACUUUAAAAAUUUUCUUAACAAUAAAAAAUUAGAAAAUAAUCCGAAAAUAUUCGCCGUAUUUUAAAUAAAAUUUCUAAAUUUCUAAUUACGAUUAUAUAAUUUCUUAUGUCACAAAAUUUCUUUAUAUUUUUUAUAAAAAUCUUAAAACUUUAAAACUACAAUUAGGUAGAAAAUAAUACAACAUUUAAAAAUUUACAAAUAAAAUUUAAUAUCAAAAAUAAUUUUACAUCAUAAAAUUUUCUUAUGAAAAAUUCUCAUCCAUCUGCCAUCCAUGACACGCAAUAAUUUUCUAUCAGAUAAAAAUAAAUCAUUUUCACGACAACUAUUUUUCUAUUACCUUAAUUCGUUUUAAAAUCAAAAAUUAAAUCGGAAAUAACGCAACAUCUAUAAGUGCCAAAAUAUGAAUAUUUUAAUGUGAAAAAUUUUCUACGUCAAAAAUUAAAAUUUUUCAACUUUUUCAACAAAAAUCCUCACACUUACGUAUAUUAUAAAAUUAAAUAAAAAAUAACGCAUAACAUUUACAAAUACAAUAUUCAUUAUCAAAAAACUUCGAAAUUUCUUAUAUCAUAAAAUUUUCUCGCGCUUGGUCAUCAUCCAUCAAAAACGACAAUUUCCACCAAAUCG